rnacentral:rRNA from 8 species
UCAAGAUAAGAUUUCCCACCGCAAGGGUAAGACCCCAGAAAGACUAUCUGGUUGAUAGGUCGAAGGUGUAAGUGCAGCAAUGUAUUUAGCUUAUCGAUACUAAUAGGUCGAGGACUUGACCAAUAUUUAUU